rnacentral:rRNA from 1 species
CGGCAUGCUUAACACAUGCAAGUCGAACGAGAAAGCUCUUCGGAGUGAGUAGAGUGGCGCACGGGUGAGUAAUGCAUGGGAACGUACCCUUUGGUUGGGAAUAACUACCGGAAACGGUCGCUAAUACCGAAUAGGCUCGCAAGAGUAAAGGAGGCCUCUCUUUGAAGCUUUCGCCAAAGGAUCGGCCCAUGUCCCAUUAGCUUGUUGGUGGGGUAAUGGCCUACCAAGGCUACGAUGGGUAGCUGGUCUGAGAGGAUGAUCAGCCACACUGGGACUGAGACACGGCCCAGACUCCUACGGGAGGCAGCAGUGGGGAAUAUUGCACAAUGGAGGAAACUCUGAUGCAGCAAUGCCGCGUGAGUGAAGAAGGCUCUUGGGUCGUAAAGCUCUUUCGAUUGGGAAGAAGGGUGAAUUGGUUAAUACCCAGAUCAUUUGACGGUACCUAAAGAAGAAGCACCGGCUAAUUUCGUGCCAGCAGCCGCGGUAAUACGAAAGGUGCAAGCGUUGUUCGGAAUCAUUGGGCG